GUGAGGAAUCUUCCACAAUGGGCGAAAGCCUGAUGGAGCAACGCCGCGUGAAGGAUGAAGGUCUUCGGAUUGUAAACUUCUUUUAUGAGUGAAGAAUAUGACGGUAACUCAUGAAUAAGCACCGGCUAACUACGUGCCAGCAGCCGCGGUCAUACGUAGGGUGCAAGCAUUAUCCGGAGUGACUGGGCGUAAAGUGUUGCGUAGGCGGUUAUGUAAGCGAAUAGUGAAACCUGGCGGCUCAACCACACAGACUAUUAUUCGAACUGCAUAGCUCGAGAAUGGUAGAGGUUACUGCAAUUUCUUGUGUAGGAGUGAAAGCCUUAAAUAUAAGAAGGAAAACCAAUGGCGUAGGCAGGAUACUGAGCCAUUUCUGACGCUAUGGCACGAAAGCGUGGGGAGCGAACCGGAUUAGAAACCCUUGUAGGCC
rnacentral:rRNA from 1 species